rnacentral:rRNA from 1 species
AACGAACGCUGGCGGCAUGCCUAACACAUGCAAGUCGAACGAGACCUUCGGGUCUAGUGGCGCACGGGUGCGUAACGCGUGGGAACCUGCCCUUAGGUUCGGAAUAACUCCCCGAAAGGGGUGCUAAUACCGGAUAAUGUCUUCGGACCAAAGAUUUAUCGCCUUUGGAUGGGCCCGCGUUGGAUUCGCUAGUUGGUAGGGUAAAAGCCUACCAAGGCGACGAUCCAUAGCUGGUCUGGGAGGAUGAUCAGCCACACUGGGACUGAGACACGGCCCAGACUCCUACGGGAGGCAGCAGUGGGGAAUAUUGGACGAGGGGCGAAAGCCUGAUCCAGCAAUGCCGCGUGAGUGAUGAAGGCCUUAGGGUUGUAAAGCUCUUUUACCCGGGAUGAUAAUGACAGUACCGGGAGAAUAAGCACCGGCUAACUCCGUG